rnacentral:lncRNA from 1 species
CCAGUGGGACCCAAAGUUGCAUGGGAUGAAGACAACUGGUUCUGCAAGAGAAGCUCAUGUGCUCCUGGAUCCCAGCUUGCACCAUCUUGUCACAGUUUCAGCUGUACUGUUUUGAAAGGCUUUGAAGUCCUUGUCUGCUGAAGUCACUUGGGCAACCGAAGUCCCAGUGACAUUCUUGGAGAUGGGAACUCCUGGAUUCCCCUUCAUCUGAGAUUCCUGAUACAGCAUCUUAAGUCAUCAAUACAGCAUCUGGAGUCAAAUGUUUUUGAGCCAGGUGACCCGAGGCAUGGGAACAGCAAGUGGCACCUUUCACUCCUGGAGCUGUUCUGCACUGCUGAGCCACAUCCUCCCCGCAGGCUGCCCAGGCAAAGGGCAGGACCUGCUGCUCACACAGUGCCCAGCAGCCCUGUCAGGAUGGUUUUCAUGAGCAGCUGUGGUGAGUCCCUCUG